UGGCACAGCAAGGGACAUGCCCCUAGAAUGC
rnacentral:piRNA from 1 species